CUCAGGAGCUCCGGGAGCGGCUCCGGCGGCGCUCGGGGCUGCGGCUGAGGGGAAAAAGCCCAACCACCUGCCCUUUUCCAUCCUGGGAGCUGCCGAGCACCUGCACAAUUAAAGCUUCAUUAAAACCGACUUUUUUAAUUGCCUCUGGGUCGUUGGAGCAGGAAAAACAGCUGGAAAAAAAGCCUUGGACAUGGAAUUCCAGAGGAUGAGCAGCUCCAGGAAGAUUCACCUGUUCCUGGGAAUUACUGGAGGAUUGAGCUCCCUUCUCUGGACUCUCUUUGCCUUCGACUCCCCCCAGUGGCCACAGCUCCAGCGAUUUCCAGGGGUGAAAUGAAAAGAAAUUGAUGAAAUUAGCAAGAAAUCCUUUAAAUGAAAUACAAAUUAAAAAAAAGAAAUCCGUGGAAUUCAAGGAAAUCUGUGGAAUUAAAGGGAAAUCUAUGGAGUUAAAAAGAAAUUCAAAAGUGAUCCGUGAAAUUGAAAGGAAAUCCAUGGAUUUGAAAGGAAAUCCAUGGAAUUGAAAGGAAAUCCAUGGAAUUGAAAGGAAAUCCAUGGAUUUGAAAGGAAAUCCAUGGAUUUGAAAGGAAAUCCAUGGAAUUGAAAGGAAAUCCAUGGAAUUGAAAGGAAAUUAAAAGGAAAUCUGUAGCAUUAAAAAGAAAUCCAGAAGAAAUCGGUGAAAUUAAAAAGAAAUCCAUGAAAUUAAAAGAAAA